GAAUUUAUGCAUCAGAUUGUUGUUUUAUUUUCAGUAUUUUGUUUGCUUUGAGUUUGUUGCUUGGCACCUGGUUGGAAAGGAGAACAAGCUCUUACAGUGUUGUGAAGUCUAUAAGGACAAUAAACACAAAAGGAAAGACAGUACAACAUCA